GCGAAUCUGAGGGAGCUUGCUCCCAAAGAUUAGCGGCGGACGGGUGAGUAACACGUGGGCAACCUGCCUGUAAGACUGGGAUAACUUCGGGAAACCGGAGCUAAUACCGGAUAAUCCUUUUCUACUCAUGUGGAAAAGCUGAAAGAUGGCUUCGGCUAUCACUUACAGAUGGGCCCGCGGCGCAUUAGCUAGUUGGUGAGGUAACGGCUCACCAAGGCGACGAUGCGUAGCCGACCUGAGAGGGUGAUCGGCCACACUGGGACUGAGACACGGCCCAGACUCCUACGGGAGGCAGCAGUAGGGAAUCUUCCGCAAUGGACGAAAGUCUGACGGAGCAACGCCGCGUGAGUGAUGAAGGUUUUCGGAUCGUAAAACUCUGUUGUUAGGGAAGAACAAGUACCGUUCGAAUAGGGCGGUACCUUGACGGUACCUAACCAGAAAGCCACGGCUAACUACGUGCCAGCAGCCGCGGUAAUACGUAGGUGGCAAGCGUUGUCCGGAAUUAUUGGGCGUAAAGCGCGCGCAGGUGGUUUCUUAAGUCUGAUGUGAAAGCCCCCGGCUCAACCGGGGAGGGUCAUUGGAAACUGGGAGACUUGAGUGCAGAAGAGGAAAGUGGAAUUCCAAGUGUAGCGGUGAAAUGCGUAGAGAUUUGGAGGAACACCAGUGGCGAAGGCGACUUUCUGGUCUGUAACUGACACUGAGGCGCGAAAGCGUGGGGAGCGAACAGGAUUAGAUACCCUGGUAGUCCACGCCGUAAACGAUGAGUGCUAAGUGUUAGAGGGUUUCCGCCCUUUAGUGCUGCAGCAAACGCAUUAAGCACUCCGCCUGGGGAGUACGGCCGCAAGGCUGAAACUCAAAGGAAUUGACGGGGGCCCGCACAAGCGGUGGAGCAUGUGGUUUAAUUCGAAGCAACGCGAAGAACCUUACCAGGUCUUGACAUCCUCUGACAAUCCUAGAGAUAGGACGUUCCCCUUCGGGGGACAGAGUGACAGGUGGUGCAUGGUUGUCGUCAGCUCGUGUCGUGAGAUGUUGGGUUAAGUCCCGCAACGAGCGCAACCCUUGAUCUUAGUUGCCAGCAUUCAGUUGGGCACUCUAAGGUGACUGCCGGUGACAAACCGGAGGAAGGUGGGGAUGACGUCAAAUCAUCAUGCCCCUUAUGACCUGGGCUACACACGUGCUACAAUGGAUGGUACAAAGGGCUGCAAGACCGCGAGGUUUAGCCAAUCCCAUAAAACCAUUCUCAGUUCGGAUUGCAGGCUGCAACUCGCCUGCAUGAAGCCGGAAUCGCUAGUAAUCGCGGAUCAGCAUGCCGCGGUGAAUACGUUCCCGGGCCUUGUACACACCGCCCGUCACACCACGAGAGUUUGUAACACCCGAAGUCGGUGGGGUAACCG
rnacentral:rRNA from 1 species